GGGAGGCCUUGUGGUGGAGGGGAGGGGAGGAGAGCUCACCAUCAAAGGUGUAAAGAAGGUUCUAGUCCCUCCAGAGCACACUCAGGGAUGCUUUCUUGUGCUUCUGUCACAAGGCCUCGUCUCUAUCUUGCUUACUAUAAAUGCAGUGCUACGUCCUGCUUUUCCUUUACUUCAUUGCAUAAACCUUCCCUGAAUCACUUACAGAAUCUUUAGAACCACCAUUUUUGAGGUUUGAAUAGUUGCAUACCAAGUAAAUGACCACAGCUUAUUGAAACUCCUCUUUAUAGUCGACCACUUAGGUUGUCUGUUGUUAUUUCUAGAACACAUAACUAAUGUUAAUAAAUAAUGAUGAUAACACAGAUUAGUAUUUCCUGAGGAUGGAUCUCUUGCAUGGGUUCCAAAGCUCUAAGCAAUUUCUAUGGGCCCUGGAGUUUCCUCCACAGCUCCUAAGGCGGCUCUGGCACAUGAGGAAGCUGGGAAAAGAACAGGGGUAAUGGACACAUCUGCCUUGCAGGGGUGAUGGGCGCAUCUGCCUUGGUAAGUGAACUUGUUGGUUCUGUCCCACGCAGCUCGGGUGUCUGUGGGGCGGUGUGCUGCUGGGGUUGGAGAGGGGCCGCCCUACAUAACGUCCCCACAUAAAAGGGGCAGGUGUGCAGGUGGUCCCGGGGAUGGUGGCAGCUUUGUCUGACUCCCCUCUACUGGGGGGCUGUGGGGGAUGUGGGAGUGGAGGGUACGGAUCACCCUCCUCCGGGAUCCUCCAACCUCUCCUUGGCCAUUCUCUUUGACUUCCUUGGGAAAGAGUCCAGGCUUCAGAGGAUUCUUUGCCCAUUUCAAUCUGACCCCAUUUGAAUCCCCAACGGUCGCAGUAAACCCCAGGCACACAAAGACAGAGACUUGUGGCUGGCUUGCGGUUGCUGUGAUCACGUUGGAAUCAGACAAUGGCUGCCCUGGCAGGCAGCACCCAGGCACCUCUCAGGUGGGAAAAGACUGAGCCAGGUGAAUGUCCCAGAGCUCCAGCCAGCUCAGGCUCCUAUGGGUGAUAACUGCACCAGACACCUCUCGGAGGAAGCCAACAGUAAGUGUAUGCAGCGGCAACAUGAGCAUUCGGACAUGAACAGGAGCUCCUACCUGAAUGUGCAGACCUCCACCACUGGAGCUCUCGGGGGAAAACAUCCAGGACAGCCUCCCUGAGCCUUGAAACAUUUGCAGACCAAGCAGGCUCAGGUGCCUGUGUUUGCAGGCGGUUUUGUAGAACGUGUCAUUUAUCUUAUAUUGAUGUACCCUUGAAAGCCCGGGAGGAAGUGUGGUCUUGUGGGGAGCUCUGUGCAGGCAACAUGAGAGUCUGUAUUGUCUUCCUAGCUCUGCCCCGGUUGUCAGAGGAGUCCAUCUGGGCCACAGGGGUGAGGGGCCGUCACCCCUGCCUUUUGUUUAGCCAGUGACACCUCCCCAGUUGUGUGGCAGGUGAUGCAGCAAUAACGCCCAUGAGCUCCUCUCAACAUUCAAAACAAAACAGAGAGCCACUCUAAAACAGUGGCUUUCUUGCAAAUGGAAUAUGCUGAGAAUCUGUGACAUGUGCAGAGGAGGUUUUCCAACUCUAGGAGAUGCUGUUGACAAUCUCACUUCUGAAGUUAAGAGGCCUUUUGAGUGGCUCUGGCCACUGAGAAGUGAAACCAAACCCUGGGAGCAGCUAGAGAUGGCCAGCUUGUGAUAUUCAGAGCCAAUGUGACCCACAGGUGGGAAAAAUGAGACAUCUGAUGAGGCAGCAGGAAUCCAGAAGCCAGAACACGGCUAACCAGUAACGAAGUUGUGGGAUCACUGUUGCUCCCCUACCCCAGACACGGGUGGUCAAAGUAGAAACUGAAGAUCAGCGUCAGAGACUCCCAGACUGAGGAGUCAGCCUAAUUUUCUGAUAAGAAAUUAAAGACUAGGGGCUGGGGGGAGUGAGAGAAGUAUUAUUCUCAAACUUUUAGGGAAAAAAAAAACAAAA